GGUCAUAAUCCUGUGUAUUUCCAAGUGAAGAAAAGGAUACAUAAAGGGAGACAAAUGAGGAGAGUGAGGCUGUGAAAUGUGUCAGACGUCAAAUGAAUUCUUUUGUAAGUGGAAGACAAAAUGGGAUGUAUUGAACUAAAUGGAAAAAAUAAGGUUCUUGGUUUCAGGUGCAAUGCAGAAGAUCUCAGACAAUGAUUUCAAUUUUAAUCUUCUCAUUACAAAGGGCCAUCCUGCCCACACCUGAAAUUUUUAACAUACUUAUUAUGGCUUUGCCAUAACACAGCAUGUUAACAAUCUAUACAUUCGAAAGGAUGCUUGCAAACUUCAUUCACAUUAAAAUUUAUGCAGAAUUGUUGGCAACAUAUUAAGAAUAACAGUACAUUCUGUAAACCAUGACAUAUCACAUUUUUUUACUUUAUGCAAAGAAACAAUAUUUACAGGUCUUUAGGAGUUUAAAUAUUUUAUCUACUAAUGUAAGUGAUAAUUAAGCAAAGUGCAGGACAAAACCAGUGCUAUUAACCGCAUGUCCUUUAAAAGCAGGUAAGAGUAAAACCGUUUCUAAAAGCUACCAAAAGCUUAUUUAUGUAUGUUCAGUAAGGGAUUACAGAGCAUUAAAUAGCCUAGAAAAAUGAUG
rnacentral:lncRNA from 1 species